rnacentral:rRNA from 1 species
UACAGAGGUGGCAAGCGUUAAUCGGAAUUACUGGGCGUAAAGCGCGCGUAGGCGGCUUUGCAAGUCGGGUGUGAAAUCCCCAGGCUUAACCUGGGAACUGCAUUCGAGACUGCAUUGCUAGAGUAUGGGAGAGGGAAGUGGAAUUUCCGGUGUAGCGGUGAAAUGCGUAGAUAUCGGAAGGAACAUCAGUGGCGAAAGCGACUUCCUGGACCAAUACUGACGCUCAUGUGCGAAAGCGUGGGGAGCAAACAGG